GGGUGAGCACUAAAUGAGAUCAUACUCCUGCUGGUUACUGCAAGGGGAGAAUACCCACAAUCCCGGGAAUAAAAAGAGUGGGCACGGUGAUCACUUCGGACCGAGUGACCUCUAAAAGAAGGGGAUGGCGGCUCGGGGCUCUCUCGGGGAGACUCCGAAGGAUGCACUUUUUCACUGUUCUUCCUCCCACCUUCACGUUUCACACGAAAUCCAAUACAUAACUUGCAUGACUUGAUGCAAUCCUUGUAAUCACCAUUGCUUUUCAUAUCAUUGGAUUCAAUAACAACAUCGCGAUAAUCAUAUCCCCUAGCACAUUUGACGCAAAACCACCUACCGCAACUUUGACAGUGGUAUCCAUUAUAAAGCCCAGUCAAGUUUGUAUUACACUCGCAACACAUUUUGAGACUGUUACUGUGCAUCUGAAAUUCACCAGAUAAAGAAGAUGGCGAUAGAUCACUUGCCCCCCCACGCAUUCCAAGACUUAACUUUGUGUAGUAGAUCUCUCAGUGAAGUAUCAGGUAUUACCAUAGAAUGCAAAAAGCCCCAACAAGAAUUGCAACCCAGUAUAGACCCCAACUUCUAAUCCUUCUUCUUCUCGUAAAUUGAGUACGAUAGAAAGAAUAAAAAACAGUAAAAUCCAACAACAAGAGUUGACAAAUUGAUCAGAUAUUCCGGUAUAGUGAACCCACAAUAAAUAUGGCGGUGGGUGAUUUGGGGCUGUGUUGUGAAUUUUUUUUUUUUUUUUAGGAUUUAGUGUAUUGAUGAGAUUUAAUGUAAGAAAGGGUAAGAAAAUCCUCCAAGAAUCGCAAAAUAUAUCCUAGGAGGAAACCCCCGCAACUAUAAAUAGAUUAAAAUGACGCCACAAAUCUAGCACUAUUUACACCAAAAUCUAUAACUAAAAAACAAGAAGAUUAUCCAACGACAAGAACAACAACAGCACCGGAGUUGAAAGAAAAAAGAUUAAAAAAGAAAACUAAAAACCCCUAAAAUCUAACCAAUCCCGGAUUCAUCAAGAAUGUAUCCGCAGAUGGAUUGAAGCAUAUCACAAAGAAAUAAAAGAGAAAAGAAAUGAAGAAAAGAGUGAAUAGAGGAUUAAAUACGAGGCAAAAUGAGAAUCAAAAGGAGGAAAAGGAAGAGCACGGAGAAGGUCCCCUUUCUUCCGGAGUUUGCACGCAUCUCUAAUAAGUCUCUUCUCUUCUUCUUCUGCACUUCAUCUUCUUCUAUUACUAUAACUAUUCCCACCA
rnacentral:misc_RNA from 1 species